CCCUCGCUCACUGCUGCAUCCUUUUUUGAAUGGUCAUCUCACUGCUGCUUCUGACGUCGAAAUGAUCUGAAGAUUGAACAGGGAGAGGAAGAGGAUUAUACUCCACUUAGUAUGAUGAUGAUGCAAGUGGGCGACUCAAUGCGAAGUUUCGGUGUGCAAAUCAACACGAGCCAGCCCAAAGAAGCGGAGGAGGAGGAGCACUCAUUGGUGUGAGAGGGCGUCCACGCCACGGGAAAAAGGCAACAGUGGGAAACAAUGGGAUUGCCCCCCGAAUGGAUGGACCCAGGAGAGGCUGGAAGAUCUCAAUGAUCAACGCCGCAACGAACUCGAUGGCGCCCAGUAAAAAGAGAGAAGGCAGACCAAAAUGUCCUAGAAAAAGAAAGAAAACAGAGCCCGAAUGCGAAGAAGAUCUUCUUGGGGAAGGAAGAAGAAACAAGAACUUGGGAGGAGUACCUUCUUCUUUCCUCUUCUUGGCCGCUGCCUCCGCUCUGCUCCUCUGGUGAAAUGCCCGGUGGAGCAGACUGCAGACAGAUCCUCGUAGUCGCGCGCGCGGCGGCGGCGGAGCCGGGGCAGGAUCACCGCGGAAACGACACCGCGCGGCAGAGCUAUCGGCUGACGCAGGCUACGCAGCCCUCUCGAGCA
rnacentral:lncRNA from 1 species